GAUGAAGAACGUAGCGAAAUGCGAUAAGUAGUGUGAAUUGCAGAAUUCAGUGAAUCAUCGAAUCUUUGAACGCACAUUGCGCCCGCCAGUAUUCUGGCGGGCAUGCCUGUUCGAGCGUCAUUUCAACCCUCAAGCCCCCGGGCUUGGUGUUGGGGAUCGGCGUGCCCUCGCGGCGCGCCGUCCCCUAAAUCUAGUGGCGGUCUCGCUGUAGCUUCCUCUGCGUAGUAGCAACACUCGCGCUGGAUCGCAGCGCGGCCACGCCGUUAAACCCCCCACUUCUGAAAGUUUGACCUCGGAUCAGGUAGGAAUACCCGCUGAACUUAAGCAUAUCAAUAAGCGGAGGA
rnacentral:misc_RNA from 1 species